GUGCCUGUAGCUCAGUGGUUAGAGCGGCCGGCUCAUAACCGGUUGGUCGCAGGUUCAAGUCCUGCCGGGCCCA
rnacentral:tRNA from 1 species